rnacentral:rRNA from 1 species
GAUGAACGCUAGCGGCAGGCCUAACACAUGCAAGUCGAGGGGUAGAAUUAGCUUGCUAAUUUGAGACCGGCGCACGGGUGCGUAACGCGUAUGCAAUCUACCUUGUACAGGGGGAUAGCCCAGAGAAAUUUGGAUUAAUACCCCAUGGUAUAAUUAAUUUGCAUGAAUUGAUUAUUAAAGUUCCAACGGUACAAGAUGAGCAUGCGUCCCAUUAGCUAGUUGGUGUGGUAACGGCAUACCAAGGCGACGAUGGGUAGGGGUCCUGAGAGGGAGAUCCCCCACACUGGUACUGAGACACGGACCAGACUCCUACGGGAGGCAGCAGUGAGGAAUAUUGGUCAAUGGUCGGAAGACUGAACCAGCCAUGCCGCGUGCAGGAAGAAGCAUCUAUGGUGUGUAAACUGCUUUUGUACGGGAAGAAACACUCCUACGUGUAGGAGCUUGACGGUACCGUAAGAAUAAGGAUCGGCUAACUCCGUGCCAGCAGCCGCGGUAAACUCG